rnacentral:rRNA from 1 species
CCUACGGGAGGCAGCAGUGAGGAAUAUUGGACAAUGGGCGCGAGCCUGAACCAGCCAAGUAGCGUGAAGGAUGACUGCCCUACGGGUUGUAAGCUUCUUUUAUAAAGGAGUAAAGUGAGGCACGUGUGCCUUUUUGUCUGUACUUUAUGAAUAAGGAUAGGCUAACUCCGUGCCAGCAGCCGCGGUAAUACGGAGGAUCCGAGCGUUAUCCGGAUUUAGUGGGUUUAAAGGGAGCGUAGAUGGGUGGUUAAGUCAGUUGUGAAAGUUUGCGGCGCAACCGUAAAAUUGCAAUUGAUACUGGCAGCCUUGAGUACAGUUGAGGUAGGCGGAAUUCGUGGUGUAGCGGUGAAAUGCUUAGAUAUCACGAAGAACUCCGAUUGCGAAGGCAGCCUACUAAACUGCCACUGACAUUGAUGCUCGAAAGUGUGGGUAUCAAACAGGAUUAGAUACCCGAGUAGUC